ACGAAAAUUCUAAGGCUAAAUGGGAUUUAAAUCAAAGUAUAUAAUCGGGUUGGCCUGCGCACCAAGUAGAUAAUAUUUACAAAGACUGUAGUAAUAUAGCGUUUAUAUUGAAAGACGGCUGUAAUCUGCCAAAAAAAAGAAAUCAAAGAAAAAAAGCAAAAGCAUUACGAUAGUGAUUUUCAUCUAUGUAAAAAGUCAAGUCCUAAAAGCAACGAGAUUGGAAUUUAAAACGAAAAAGUUUAAUGGUUUUAGCUGAGUUUUGUCGUUUUUCUCUAACUAUUUAGGGAUAAGGGAAGAGAGGAUUCAAAAAUUUCUUAAUAAUCCAAAUGUAUAAAUGAUGAGAUAUAUAAAUCCAAAGUAUUAAACUUCGUUUUCAUUUUAAUUUUACUUUUUCGUUUCCUUCAUAAAACUGCUGAAGAUACUAAUUCUCAAA